rnacentral:misc_RNA from 1 species
GGUAUAAGCAGUAGGGAGGCCACUGGAGUUAUGGAAAGCCAAAAGAGCCUAUAACCCAACCAUCUGUGGACCGCUAGGAUUGAGAGACCAUACAUGCCAAUUGCUAGUGGAUGCUCCUGUUUUGCGAAACGCAAUACCAACCGUUUGGUUUGAUGGAUGGUAAUUCCAAUAGAUAAAAGGACUCAACACAGGAAGAUCACUGCACGUGCUGAAUACUUGAUUGGUAGAGAAGGUAUAGCUCCCGCAAG